GCCUCCAGGACUGGCCCAUGUUCCUCCCCAACCUCCUCACUGUCCAAAUCUGCUGCCAGCUCUGCAGGCCGUCAGCGGACCACAGCACCUCUGCCCUAGAAGGUGGCACUGAGAAAGGGGAAAUAAAAAGGCCCAGGUGACCCUAGAAUAUUGAGAGAAGGGGCUGCCCACGUUGCUUUGGAGAAGAAAGGCGGUUAGGAGAGAAGGGAGAAAAGCUGGCACCCUUUUUUUUGGCAAGGGGGCUUUGGGGAGCUUAGGAGAAAAGGCGAUGGGGCAGGAGGAAAGGGUAGCCCAGGUGGAAUGGGUCACACCCAGGGAGUUAGAGGGUGCCCCCUCUGAAGAGACUGCCCUAUGGGAGCUCCUGGGCCGGCCAAAGCUGUUUCUCCACACGUCUCACUUGAUCUCUUUCUGUGUCUCUACUUCCAGGAGCCAAAAGCUCUUUUUUCCCCUCUUUGUUUCUUCUUCCUUCCAGCCUUCCCGCUCAAUCUUUCUUUCUUUGGCACAAUCGAAAACCGCGUUUAACAUAGGCCUCUCUGCCAUAGCCUGGAGUCCCUUUUUUAAAAAAAAUUCACAAGGGAAAAACCGAAGCAAGUUCAACCUCCAGGAAGAGUCCAGCCACAGCACGGGGGUUUGACUUCAAACAGGUGGCAUUAGGGCUGCAGGUGGGGCCGGCCCAGGAGGACCCCUCCCUCAAAACCUUCAGCACUUCUCCUGGCUUCCGCCUGGAUGGACUUCUCGUUGGGCACCUGCGUUUCCAAAAGACGGUAGGGGCCUGGCCUUCUCGGGGGGAGAGAGAGGCCCGGCUGGACUCAACGCCAGCGGCUUCCAGCGCCCCAACUGGGCUACUAUUAUGCCUAAGACAUUUGUAAGCAGAGCUUGACUGCGGAGAGUUGGUGGACCUGAGCGAAAUGUGUUGGUGGAGGAGAGCGGCGGCCAGCAAAUACAGACUCGACUCUUUUGACGUUUGUGGUGCAAACGGGAAGGUGGCUGCCAGGCCCUUCCUCCUCAUUGCCUCCUCCGUGUCAACAGGGCUCUCUCUCUCUGUGUGUUUCUACCUUCCUGCCAUGCUAAUCCCUUAAGGGCUCCAGAUGCUCACUUCUCUUUAAAAGCACUUGCCGGACUCUGCCAGAUUUUGCGAUAACAGCCUCAAUGUUCGUUUCUGCCACCUGUCCUUGCCUGCUUGGCUACAGGCCCUGGUCUCGGCUCUGGAACCGACCCCAUGGGCCUGCCAUCUUGCCAGGGUCCCGAUGUCCUGCCUUGCAGACCCGGGUUGCAAGCCAUGACUCUUGGGAGUCCCCAAGCUCACCUGAGUGCCUGCACCAGGCCCAGCACGCCCCCCCAGACUAGUCCCGGUCCUUUGCCUACCCCACUGCCCAAACUGUGCCAAAGACCAGCUCUGGGAAUCCUGCGCCUCUCUUCUGCCUCCUGGCAUUGGGCUUGCCAGUUUCCUGUUUGCCCUGGAUCAGCUGUUCUGGAACCGACGGGAUUUUUGCCAAGGGACUCCUGCUACAGAGGAGGGGCAGGCGGAUACUUGCCCCCCCCUCUCCAACCUGUUCUCCCUUCCAUGGCGGCCGUCCUGGAAAAGUCGAAUGGCAGGGCUGAAUCCUCCCCAUUUUCUCUGGGGCUGCCCCUUUUGCACUCUUGGGAAGGGCCCCGGGUCCCUGGCUUACCCCUGAAUUAUCUUCGGUUUUGGAUUUGCACUUCUAAGCUCUCACUGGCGAUCCCACGUUUCCCUUGGGCGAGCGAAACCCUCCGCUGAGGUUUUGGCAGAGAGACACUUCCCCCUCUCCCCUCUCGUUGCUCUACUCCACAGUAUUUCCCCUUUGGGACAUGCCCAUCCCUAAAUCUUAUUUUUUAAAGUCAAUAAAGAAUCAGAGGGAUUCUGGGAGAAGCAAAUCCCGUUCCCUUUCUCUCCCUC